GUGUGUGUGUGCAGUUUAUUAUACAAAUGGUAGAGUUUCAUCAUCACGUGUUAUGUCAUUCCCGGAGUAGUGAUGACACGGAUUUGAGAUUUCUAAAACUCCAUCUUUUGAUGAUGAUGUUUAUGGGAUUGAUGUAUGUUAGAUUCAAAAUUUUGUAGUGUAUUUCUACUCGUUAGUGAGGCAUAAGAAAACAAUAGUGUUUAAGGUCUUUUUGAUUUUGCUAGAACAACAUUAUAUAUGUCGUUAAGUUGAAGCGAACGGGUCACAAUCCUUUGGCAUUUUAAAAGGAUAAGAAAUCCUCGAACAUUAAAGAUAUUGAACAUGCAUCUGCAUGCAUCAUCGACCAGCUUUGAUCCCCUCAGAUAAAGUGACCAGUGUGGGAUCAUCUGACUGCACUUGACUCAUUUGCUUGCAUAGUCUGCAACUGCUAUCAUUCUUAACCUAAAGUUCUCCUCCUGUUAAUUGAUUGGCUUUAUUUUUACCACUAGUAGAACUGUCCUAGCGGUUUAGCAAUGCCGAUGUCUUUUGUGAGUAUCAUGUUAAUACAAUAGUUUAAUUCAUCUUAUAAUGUACACCUUUUUAAACGGUGUUUGAACAUCUAAGGGCAUACGAUACAGUUUUGAUCCCGUAUUUAAAGUUUGAUGAAAAUUUCCAUAUACAUUGUAGGCUAUUUUUUGCCUGAUUAAAUCAAAUAUAUAAUACAAAAUAUACCUUCAUGUGCUAUUUUUUUUAAGUUAAAUGUGGUCGAAUUUUGUAUAUUUGCUCAAAAUUCGGAUUUGUGGCCGUAUUUUCCUUUUCCAAAGCAAGUCAUAACUUUUUUGUUUUAAAAGAUAAACACAAAUUGUGUUUUUUGUUAAAUAAUUUGUAAUUUUUGUAUUUUAUAAGUAUCCUAAAAUUAAAUAACUCAUAUUUAUCAAAUGGCCAUGAAUUGAGAAAAAUAAAAACGUCAUUUUUUGCUGUAGAUUUAUCGACAAUUUGCACUACUUACAGUUAUAUAAAAUUUGGUCCACAUAAUCUCCCUGCAAAAUGAAACAAAAUUUCGCUUCAAAAAAAUAGGGGUCCAUGCACUCGUUUACAAAUUAAAUUAGUUUGAAUGAUGAAAAUCAGUCGAAAAAUACAUCUUUUCCCGAUAUGUCACAGUUUGACGUCGCGAAAAUAACAUUUUACGUUAGUAAGGUCAGUACCUCCCUGUAACUGUAUCAUAUGCCCUAAAUCAUCAAGAAUAAACUUGAUAUUAUGAAUGUUCUCAGUAACAAAAACCAUAUAAACGCUUGAUUGUCUUAUUUAAUUACGUUGUAUACUCUUGAAAAUUAAUUAACUGAAAAUUAUAAAGUCUGCUACAACGAAUAGACAACUCCGUCGACAACGGAAAAUGAAAACAUUGGAAAUAAUAUUAUACAAGGCUUUUUAACCAGAUAACAUUACAACCGUUCUUUAGUGUCAAACAAUAAUAUUUAGUGUCAUACAAUCAUACUUCAGCGUCAAACAUUCAUACUUAAGGAUGUACUUAGGUGAGGUUAGGUGAAAAUGAAUAAAUCAAGAACUAAGAAUUGAUACUACAAGUUGGUAGAUCAUCCGUUAACGAUAAAAAUAAGCUAAAAUCAUUAAAAGGUUGUGGGCCUCCUUUUCGAGAUAUUUUGGGAUUAAAAUUUGCGGGAAAAGACUGACUCGGACUUUAACCUUAUUUUUGCAUUGAUAUUAUUUGGGUCUCAAAACAAAAGAAAGAAAAUCAAGAAUCUUCUAAAAUGUUGGUAAAUGACCUUUCAUGAGCUAUUAAGUCUUAUAUGAAAAAAUAAAUGGGUUUUAUGGGGCAAAAUGUUUUACCUUGUAUUGUAUGGAAAAAACAACAAGGAGUCCGAACAUUUAACACGAAUUCCAAAAAAAAAAGAGGGACGAAAGAUACCAAAGGAACAGUCAUACUCAUAAAUCUAAAACAAACUGACAACGUCCCUCUUUUAUUUGCUUUUUUCUCUUGAGUUUACAAUUUUUUAAAUUUGAGUAAAAUAACAAAUGAUUUUAAAUUGGCAUUCUUUUUCAAAUUAUUUGCAUGAGAACAUUUUAUCCGUUGCUGCAAUGCAAGGAAACUCAAUUUGUUUUAAUCAUCUAAAAGUUGAGGUCAGUGUUCUCAAAUAUACCUUAAUACAAAAUUGCCGGGAUAUACAAUGUGUCUAUUUAAAACUCUGUAUCGUGACAACAUAUUCUAUAAAAACAAGCUCCGCUAGUGUAAUCUAUCGUAAAAGAGGACGCGAUUGUGGAUAAACGUAUGAUAUAAAACAAAACAACUAUGAAGAAUUAUUUAAGGCUACAUGAAACAUGCGAAAUUACUGAAUUUCAGUCCGUGGAAAGUAAAAUUAACAAAACAAAUUUUGUCUGACCUAUUUAUAAUUGAUAACUAACCGAUACAGAACAAUUUCUAUAAGCACAUUAACGGUACACAUUUCAAUGCAACAGAUGCUUAGUACGACGUUCAAUGUCUCGUCAGCGAUGUUUCCUUAAUUAUUUAAAUAUUUCAUGUUAUCAAAUGUAACAAAUAUGAAAUUAUCAGUAUGUUUACGAAUUAUUGAAUGCUUAAUCCAGUGCUUGUAUCGAAGGUCCGAUGUAAAUUAUAUAACCACUUAUAAUUAAGAACACUAUUGUGAAGAUUUAUUCAUAAUGCACUUACUUCUUUUCACUAUGUAUUAGCAAAACUUAGUUUCUUAUGAGUAUUGUACUUUAACGUUGCAAAAAUAAAACGUAGAGCAAUUACACAUACUAUUAUAUACCAGUUUUUGAGAGAAAGAAGCUAUGAAAUCGUGUUAAAAAUAUGACCAAAAAUAACUGAUAUAAACGGCACGACAAAUUGUUCAGCACUUUUAUCAAUACGUAUUUCAGUCAAUCAUUAGUAAAAAUAUAAACUUCCAUUUUGAUACAGAUAUGGGAGAAAUUUUUGUGCAACAACCGAUGGAUUGGAAUUUGUAGCUCACAGGCCUUUUAAAACCAUGCAUCACCAUAAUUGAACGUAACAAAACCAUGAAAAAAACAACAAAAUUGAUAACGAAAGUUUGUAAAUCCAUUUCAACAAUAGUAAGUAUCUUGUGACUUGUGUCUCACAUAAACAACAAAUAAAACCAGAAGCAAUUAUACAUUUUACACCAGUUUUCGAUCUGUAACUAGAAGAAAUACUAAGGAAGUCGUGAAAAAUAAUGUGACCACAACGUUAGAAAUAGAACGUCCAGAG
rnacentral:lncRNA from 1 species